GCUUAUUUGUUGGAUGGACAACAGAUUAAAGGCUGCUGGUGGUAGAGCUAAUGGAGAUGGAACAAGGAAGACAAGGACACGGGACCGGCCUAGGGCUGUUCCAGCUCCAGAGGCAAACGCCGAACUGCAAGCAAAUAUUGAUAAAAGAAGGUUAAUAACUCAUGCAAAUGCGAAGAGCAAGAGUGAAAAGUUCCCUCCGCCGCAUCAGGAUGGCGCACUUGGAUUUCCCUUGGGCUGUUCGAACCACAUGGAACCUUCAUUUGAACCCCCAA